rnacentral:rRNA from 1 species
UACGUAGGGGGCAAGCGUUGUCCGGAUUUAUUGGGCGUAAAGCGCGUGUAGGCGGCUCGAUAAGUCUGCUGUGAAAGUUCAGGGCUCAACCCUGAAAUGCCGGUGGAAACUGUCGAGCUAGAGUACGGAAGAGGCGAGUGGAAUUCCUGGUGUAGCGGUGGAAUGCGCAGAUAUCAGGAGGAACACCAAUAGCGAAGGCAGCUCGCUGGGACGUUACUGACACUGAGGCGCGAAAGCGUGGGGAGCGAACAGG